UGGAAUGGAAUGGAAUGGAAUGGAAUAGAACGGAGAAAUGAAAUGUGAGCUGAGAUUCACCACUGCACUCCAGCCUGGGUGAGAGAGUGAGAUCCUGCCUAAAGAAAGGAAUGUAAUGGAGUGGAGUAGAAUGUAAUGAAGUGGAUAGGAGGGGAAUGGAGUGGAGUGGAGUGGAAUGGAAUGGAGUGGAAUGGGAUGGAAUGGAAUGGAAUGGAAAGGAAUGGAAUGGAAACGAGUGGAAUGGAAUGGAUUCCAACUGAAUGAAAUGAAAUGGAAUGGAAUGGAAUGGAAUGGAAUGGAAUGGAAUGGAAUGGAAUGGAAUGAAAAGGAAUGGAAUGGAAUGGAGUGGAGUGGAGUGGCGUGGAGUGGAGUGGAGUGGAGUCGAGUGGAAAGGAAUGGGAUGGAAUACAAUGAAAUGGAGUGGAGCCUAGUGGAGUGCAUGUAGUGGAAUGGAAUGGAAUGAAAUGGGAUGGAAUGGAGGGCAGUGGAGUGGAAUGGAGUGGAAUUGAAUGGAAUGCAAUGGAGUAGAAUAGAAUGGAG
rnacentral:lncRNA from 1 species